rnacentral:rRNA from 1 species
GACGAACCGUGCAAACGUUAUUCGGAAUCACUGGGCUUAAAGGGCGCGUAGGCGGGCCGCCAGGUCCGGGGUGAAAGCCUCCAGCUCAACUGGAGACGUGCCUUGGAUACCGGCGGCCUCGAGGGAGGUAGGGGCGUGCGGAACUUCGGGUGGAGCGGUGAAAUGCGUAGAUAUCCGAAGGAACACCGGUGGCGAAAGCGGCGCGCUGGAUCUCUUCUGACGCUGAGGCGCGAAAGCCAGGGGAGCAAACGGG